rnacentral:rRNA from 1 species
UAUAAGUAAAAUAACUAUAUAAAUAUCGAAAUAACUAAAAACAUUUAUAAAUUUAGUAAAGGUGAUAGAAACUUAUUUUACGAAAUAGAAGUACUGAGAAGGAAAUCACUUUAAUUAAAAUAUAUAAAGAAUAAACUUUUGUACCUUUUGCAUCAUGGUUUAGCCAGAUUUAAUUCUUAUAUAAAAUUUCUCGAAAUCUAAUGGGCUAUUUUUGAUCAUACUAUUAGGUAAAAGAAAAGUAGUUGUGGCAAAAACUUUUUUAGAAUCAAAAAUAGAAAUGAAAUUUUAUCCGUAUUAGAUGAUAGCUAGUUUUUUCCUAAAGGUAUAGAAGUACUACGAAUUUUUUUAUGCUAUAAAAUAUUUUAUUUAUAGUAUAUAUAUAAAGUUUAGUUAAAUUUUAGAGGAUAAGCUCAAGAAUAAAAUAGUAUGUAUAUUAAAUGUUAAAUAGUUAAAUUUAGGCUUGAAAAUGGCCAUAAUAAAGAUUUUGUUAUAAUUUCAUUACUCUAAUGACAUAAAAUAAAUCUAUUUUAAUUAAGGAAAAAAGGUUUUUUAAUUUUCUAAAGAAUUAAAUGUAUGCUAAAAUGAGUAUUAAUUAUUUUUUAAUUUUUAUCAUAAUAAAUUUAUAAACUAAAAAAAAUAUACUAUUUGCAAAUUAAUAAAAGGAACUCGGCAAAACUUAAUUCCGCCUGUUUAUCAAAAACAUGGCUCCUUGUUUUCAUCUAUAAGGAGUCGGACCUGCUCGGUGAAUUGUUUUAACAGCCGCGGUACUCUGACCGUGCAAAGGUAGCAUAAUCAUUUGCCUUAUAAUUGAAGGCUAGUAUGAAUGGUUUGACGAGAAUUAAGCUGUCUCUUUUUAAAUAGAUAUAAUUUUAUAUAUAGGUGAAGAAGCCUAUAUUUUAUUGAAAGACAAGAAGACCCUAUCGAGCUUUAAAGAAUUUAAUGGACUUAUCAUAUAUUUAUUAAAAAAGUAAGGCCAUUGAAAAUUUUGGUUGGGGCGACUGAGGAACAAAGAAAGCUUCCUUUUAUUUUAGAAAUCUACUAGUAUUGAUCCAAUAAAUUUGAUUAAAGGAAUUAGUUACCGUAGGGAUAACAGCAUAAUCUUCUUUGAGAGUUCCCAUCGAAAAGGAGGUUUGUGACCUCGAUGUUGGACCAGAAUACCCAGAAGAUGCAGCCGUCUUCAAUGGUUGGUCUGUUCGACCAUUAAAAUUCUACGUGAUCUGAGUUCAGACCGGCGUGAGCCAGGUCAGUUUCUAUCUUCAAUUUUUAAAAUAAUCUUAGUACGAAAGGACCAGAUUAUUACAAGAAUUUUUGUUAUAUUUGAUUAAAUAUAAAGAACAUUUCAAAGGAUGACAU